rnacentral:sRNA from 1 species
UAUAUAUGUAUAUACAUUAAUUUUUUUUUAUUUUUUUUACUAUAUAUUUUGAUAGUAAUGAUACGAAUGUAAAAGUGGGCAUAUUUUGAUAAUUAAAAUGAAAUAUGUGUAAAUUAUAAUAAAUUCCAUUAAAUGGGCAUUAUGGGAAUUAUAUAUUAUAAGAUGCACACAUAUAUAUAUCUAUAAACUUAUUAUGGUUUUAAAAGUAAAAGGAUUAUAUGUAUAAGGAUAAGAAAUGUUAAAUAAAUUAAAAAGUAUAAAAUUGUAUUUAUAUAGAUAGAUUUAUAAUCUAAGAAUAAUAUGUGAACGAAUUAGAUAAUAUAAAUAGGGUUGAUUGAAAGAACCUAGAAAAAAUAAGAAAACACAGAUUUAAUAUUAUAGAUGAUAGAGUUAUAUUGAUUUUACUUGAAGAAAUAAAGAUUUUAUUGAAGUAAAUUAAAAUAAAAAAGAAUGAAUUGUAUUAAGUUAAAAACAAUUGUAUCUAACAAUAAAAACAUAGCUCUAAAGAAAAAUUACUUUAAGAGUCUUUAAAUCUUAAAUAUAAAUUACACCUUAUAACAUUUGAUGAAGAUCAAAAAAACAAUAUGAUGUAUUUAAAAUAUAUUAUUAUCUUGAAGAAGAUUUCAGAAAAAACAAAAAUAACCUUUUAAGUUAGCACUCAGAAGCUUAAAAGAAAAGAAUAAGAUAAUAUUAUAAUAUUAUAAUACCUUAAAAUAACUAUAAAAAUGAGAUUUCUUUAUUUUUUUAUAUCAAGACGUAAAAUUGCUUGUACAAGAAAUAAACUGGAAUAAUAAAAAUAAAAUAAAAUAAAUAACUUUAGAACGUCAAAUACUAGAGUUACUUUUUAUUUGUCUCAAUAUAUAUGAAUUUUUUAUGAACUUACCUGGUAAAUAUAAAUUUAAAAUUGAAGAUUACGAAGAAGAGGAAGAGGAAGAUGAAGAUGAAGAACAUUUAAAAAGAAGGUUACCAUUAAGUAUUGUUAAUAUAUAUAUAUAUAAUAUGAUGUAUGAAGAAAGGAAAUGGUAUUACAACAUAAAUAAAACUUAGAAGACAAAAAUGAAUAAAAAGGUGUAGAACAAAGAGAAGUUUUAAACAUCUUGAGUAUAUCAAAAGAUAUAAGAUAAUUGAAACAGAAAUGUAUACAUAUAUAUGGGUAUGUUAUAAUUAAAUGAAAUCCAGAAAAAACAAAAUGAUGUACUCAAAGAUGUCUUAAAUAAAUAUGGAUAUGCAGAACAGCAUGAUAGUUUUUUUUUUUUUUUUUUUUUGUAUAUACCAAUUCAACUAAUGGUUUUAUAUAAGAACAGAACUGACAUUUAAAAGGAAACGUUAAAAUAUAUAUAUCCAUAUAUGAAAGAAGAAGCUUUAUUUUUAAUUUAUUUUUUAUAUAUACCAAUGUCUAAAUGGUUUAUAGAAGAAAUGAACUGAGAUUAAAGUAAAGAAAGCUCAAAAAAAAAAAAAAAAAAAGGUAUUAUAUAAUAGACGAAGUGUAUUAUGAUGUAUAGAAGAACACAUUAUAAAAACUAUAAUAAGGCAAAUUCAGAACAAAAAAUGCCUCAGAAUUAAGGAAGCCAUAUAAUUCAGAUAGGAUAAUCUGAGAAUUGACAAAACAGAAAAAGGAAAUAAUUAUAUAUAUAAUGUGAUAGAGAAAGAAUAACUGUGUAUAAAAGGUUAUUUGCAAUAAGACUUUUUUAAGAUAUGUUAUUAGAUACAUAUAAUAUUGUUAUGCACAGAACAGCAUAUAUGGAAUGUGUAUCGAAAUAUAAAAAGUUCAUAAAGAAAAUUGUAUUGUUAAAUAGAAUCACACAAUAUAUGAUAUUGAAGAAAAACAGAAUGUUAUAAGGAAAAUACACAUAAGCAAUAUAAAUGAAUUGAAGAAAAACAACACAUUUUUGGAAAUUGAGAGAAGAGUAUAUAUUUAGAAAAUUUAUUAUAUUCUAAACCCCAAGAAUAUUAUUGGAAAUUCUAAAUAUAUAUAUAUAUAUAUAUAUUUAUAUAAGCCUUUAUAUAGAUAUGAAAUUUUUUUAUACUAUAUACAAAUCCCCUCAUGUGUAUAAUAUAAAGAACGUUUUUUAUUUAUAUUGGUAUGCAAGAUUCUAUGGAAGAUUAAAUGUUAUGAAGAAAAAUAGUAUAUAUAUUUAAGAAAUAUUGCCCUUAAAAGUUUUAACUUAAUAUUGUUUUGCCAAAACUUUUAAUUUAUUUUUAUAUUUCUUAAAAAAUAUAGUUUUAAUCGUGUGUCUUAAAAGUAUAUAUUGUUAAUCAUGUUUUUUGAAAGAAUAUAGAUUUGUUUUAAUGUCCCUGAAAAGAUUUAAUACGAUCAGUAUUUUUUUGAGGAUAUAGUUUAUUUUGUUGAUGUACUUUUGAAUAUAUAUAGUUUUUUUAAUAUUUUGGAAAGAUUUAAUAUAUAAUCCUUUCACAAUUUUAUAAAGGCACUACAUUAUUUUGUGUUUCUUAGAUUAUAUAAUUUUUUUAAUGUUUUCAUGUUUUUUCAUAAUAGUUUAUGCAUAUAUUUUUUUAGUUUCUAUUGUUCACUAAUUCAUUCGUUGAACUUGUUUAUAGUAAAUGUUUUUAUAUAUACAAUUAAAAAAAAAAAAAAAAAGUAAAAAAAAAAAAAUAAAAAAUAAAAAAUAAAAAAUAAAAAGUAAAAAAUUAAAAAUAAAAAGUAAAAAAUUAAAAAUUAAAAAUAAAUUAUUCAUAUACAUUAUGCUUUUUUUUUGUAUACAUAAUAUUUUAUUAUUAUACAUAAUCUUUUUUUCUUAUACAUAGUCUUUUUUUUCUUAUACAUAAUCUUUUUUUCUUAUACAUAGUCUUUUUUUCUUAUACAUAUAUU